CGCGCGCCAGCCGCCGCCGGAUGAUGCCGUUGAACUGCUUCGCGUUGACGUAGAUCGGACCCACGUCGGUGGCGAUCGCCGGCGGCAGCAGCAUCCUCCCAGCCUUUGAAGCACACAAAACAUUCAGAGAAAAUAUUCACAAGAUGUUCAGAGAUCAAGAAGACAAGAACUGAAGAACAUAUAUACCAUGGUUUGAGCUCCAUAGGGGGAGUAAACACCAUAGCUUUGUUCAGAGUUGCAGAAGUUGGUGCAAACCUUCAGAGUUGCAGAAACAAACAGUUAGCUGGUUCAACCAAAGAUGUUUUUGAGAUUCAGUUUCUGGAGUAAAUCUUGAAUUGGGUAAGAGAAUUCUCACCAUGGAGUGGCCAAGGGCUAGCUCAAAGUGUCCUUGGUACUCCUGCAAUGGCGAGUACGCGGCGAUGGUCGGCGCGGAGGACUCAUGGAACUUCAGAUCUUUGCCAAGAUCAGAGUCACCUGAAAACCACAGAGUUUUCUUCAGUUGUAAAGCUGCAUGACAUUGGGCAGCUUUCCUACUCGACAGUAAAUAAUCUCCUAUGUGCCCAGUACUACUUGCUUACUCUUGAAAAGAAACAAAAAGAUGAUUAGGAGCAGAAACACCUCUUAAUAACUGUGGCAACAACAACCUCACCUCCUUCACAGAAUCAGUGACCCCAAAAUCAUCAUCAUUUAAAGUUUCCUAGGACUUGGACCAUGAAAGUUUUCAGGACCACAGCAUCAUAUCUACAAUCUUUUCUUCACU